rnacentral:rRNA from 1 species
AACGAACGCUGGCGGCAUGCCUAACACAUGCAAGUCGAACGAGACCUUCGGGUCUAGUGGCGCGCGGGUGCGUAACGCGUGGGAACCUGCCCUUAGGUUCGGAAUAACUCCCCGAAAGGGGUGCUAAUACCGGAUAAUGUCUUCGGACCAAAGAUUUAUCGCCUUUGGAUGGGCCCGCGUUGGAUUAGCUAGUUGGUAGGGUAAAAGCCUACCAAGGCGACGAUCCAUAGCUGGUCUGAGAGGAUGAUCAGCCACACUGGGACUGAGACACGGCCCAGACUCCUACGGGAGGCAGCAGUGGGGAAUAUUGGACAAUGGGCGAAAGCCUGAUCCAGCAAUGCCGCGUGAGCGAUGAAGGCCUUAGGGUUGUAAAGCUCUUUUACCCGGGAUGAUAAUGACAGUACCGGGAGAAUAAGCUCCGGCUAACUCCGUG